GAAAAUUCGAAAUCUUUUAGCCUCGGAUAAGUCGGAAGGGGCAUCGAGUGCGGGAGCUCUGUGAGAGUCGUCGUCAGAUAACUCCAGGAGGCGGAUCAUUGCAAUCUUGGCCUAUUCCACCAUGGACGCACAGUUUGGAAAGUGACAAGCAUGGAUGCCGGUCUGGGGUUGGAGGUACGCCUUGCUCCGCCGCUUUCAGCAAAUGCCUGUCCUGGCCCGUCCCUGUCUGCUCAAUUCAUCUCCCUGCUCCCAGUUUGCAUCCGGUGUCAUGUCCCAUGCCCUACAUGAUCUGGCACUGCAGUGUUAGAUGUCGUCUGCACACCACUCAUCGAUUAUGUUUACUUCGUGUGUUGAUCGUUCUUGUGCGAAUGCCAGGUUGGAGCCGUUGCAGUCUUUUGGCUAAAUAGUAGUAAGACAGUUUGGAGUUUGGACUACAGUUUCAGAACCUACUUUGUCGUUGGCCCUCUGGCAGAGUGGCAGAAGACUAUCUUGUUAUCUAUAAUAGUAUGAGAUGUUCCUAAAGUUUAGAAGCCAAACGGUCCUGCUUCAUGAAAGAAACAGCAGAUUGGGUAAUUGUGCGGCAUGAUUCAAUCAAAACAACAUCACAAUUCACACACAAGUUUACUAAGAACAUUAUAUUUAUAUUCCUUGCUUCUUCUGGCA